AUUGAACGCUGGCGGCAGGCCUAACACAUGCAAGUCGAGCGGAUGAAGGGAGCUUGCUCCUGGAUUCAGCGGCGGACGGGUGAGUAAUGCCUAGGAAUCUGCCUGGUAGUGGGGGAUAACGUCCGGAAACGGGCGCUAAUACCGCAUACGUCCUGAGGGAGAAAGUGGGGGAUCUUCGGACCUCACGCUAUCAGAUGAGCCUAGGUCGGAUUAGAUAGGUGGUGGGGUAAAGGCCUACCAAGGCGACGAUCCGUAACUGGUCUGAAAGGAUGAUCAGUCACACGGGAACUGAGACACGGUCCAGACUACUACGGGAGGCAGCAGUGGGGAAUAUUGGACAAUGGGCGAAAGCAUGAUGCAGCCAGGCCGCGCGUGUGACGAAGGUCUUCGGAUUGUAAAGACCGUUAAGUUGGGAGGAAGGGCAGUAAGUUGAUACCUUGCUGUUUUGACGGUACCAACAGAAUAAGCACCGGCUAACUUCGUG
rnacentral:rRNA from 1 species